rnacentral:rRNA from 1 species
UACGGAGGAUGCAAGCGUUAUCCGGAAUGAUUGGGCGUAAAGCGUCCGCAGGUGGCUGUGUAAGUCUGCUGUCAAAGAGCAAAGCUCAACUUUGUAAAGGCAGUGGAAACUACACGGCUAGAGUGCGUUCGGGGCAGAGGGAAUUCCUGGUGUAGCGGUGAAAUGCGUAGAGAUCAGGAAGAACACCGGUGGCGAAGGCGCUCUGCUGGACCUUAACUGACACUGAGGGACGAAAGCUAGGGGAGCGAAUGGG